UACGGUGGGGGCAAGCGUUGUUCGGAAUUACUGGGCGUAAAGGGCGCGUAGGCGGCCAUCUAAGUCAGACGUGAAAUCCCUCGGCUCAACCGAGGAACUGCGUCUGAUACUGGAAGGCUUGAAUCCGGGAGAGGGAUGUGGAAUUCCAGGUGUAGCGGUGAAAUGCGUAGAUAUCGUAAGGAAGACCAGUGGCGAAGGCGGGUCUCUGGACAGUUCCUGACGCUGAGGCACGAAGGUCAGGGGAGCGAACAGG
rnacentral:rRNA from 1 species